GGGCCGCGGCGGCGGGCGGAGGCGAGGGCCCGGUGGAGCCCUCGGAGCCAGCCUCGAGGGCGCGGGUGUCCGCGCCGCCGCCUGGCCGCGCCGCCCGGCUCGGGCCGGGUGGGGUGGAGUGGGGUGCGGGCCGUGCACGGCUCUGGUCCCCCCGGCCCGGCGGCUCUCCGUCCACUCCUCGCUCCUCACGCAGCCCCUCCGCACGACCCCGCGCGGAGGCGCCUGGAGAAAGUGAGGAAGAGCAGGCGGAGGGAGUGUGAAGCUCACGCCGGUACAGACCUUCCUGGGGUCACUUUGAGAGGCGGGGAUACAGCCCCGAUGCUGCAAGCCGCUGAGAAUGUGCAGAUGGUUUGAAGACUGUGCCGAGAAGAUGCACCUCUCCUAACUCCUGCGCGCGCCCGAAGUGGCACAAGCGCCUGUGCGCGGGGUGGGGUGUCGGGGCCUCCUGCUCCCACCUGGGUCCUGGGCGGGCUGGGCCCGGACGCCCCUUUCCCUGGCCCCACCUGUGCCCUGGAGCGUAGCUGGGCCCCGCUGGCGCUUUCUGGAGAACAGAGGAAUACCCCAGGUGGAGGAGCGGGGGAGAAGCGGGCAUUGGGAUCAGCGUUCGUUUUAAAUGAAAAAAAAAGAAAAAAAAAAAGAAAAAAUCCUGGGGAGAUUCCCGCAGGAAUCUUUCUCCCGCCCUGGAGAAAGAAUUAGUAGUAGGUUUGCGCGCGUCAAGGGGCUGGAUGAGCUACUUUCCCAGUGUACCUAAAUAGAGGAGCCUCUUCCCUCCCCCCAACUGGACAAAGUCUGAAGUGAUCUGUGCCUUAUCGAGCGCGGUGACGUGACAUUAACUUGAUCCCCCCCAAAUCGGCAUCAGAAGGAAUCUCUACGAAGUUGCAUCACAAAAUGUGCUUUCUGCCCACUUGAGUGUUUAACAAGGGGAGUUCAUUUUCUGGUACAGGGGUUCUGAAGAGGAGAUGAGGCAGUUUUCUCAUUUUGGCAAUGGAGGAACGUUCGCCAUGUUUGGAUUUGCUUCGCUUUUCCAACACAGACUUGGUCAAGUUAAUGGCCUGGAUUUGCUAGUGGAACUAGGUUUUUCCCAAAAGAGGUGACAGAAUAACUGAGAAGAAUCUGCUGGGCUGUGGAAUCCAGUCCUGAGCUCACUAAUCAAGCUAUUGAUUGAGCUGUUUUCUGAAAGUAAACCAUGAAAGCCCUCCUGGAGGCUGCCCAACCAUCUGUGAACUUGAACCUGAGAAAUGGACUUUUUUUUCAUCAGGGUGAUCUCCUUCAGCUGAAUCAUCAGAAGUGGUGAGAAGACCCCUACCCAGCCAAACUGCUUCAGACAAGUUCAAUCCGUCUGUCAAGGAAUGGAGCUGUACAGUGUGGCCAGAUCACCAUUUGCUUGCACCACCACUGAGCUAUCUCUCUAAGGACUGCCACCUACAUAUUAAGUGGCUGGAAGGAGCCUUUCUGUGAAAACGACAUUUCAGCUGGGACCCGAGGAUGAAUUGGAAGGAGUGUGUGAAGUGAGUCCUCCUUGCCAUUUAAAGUACAGGAAAAAGAAUGAAACAUUGCCAUCUGCAGCAGCUUGAAUGGAUCUAGAGAUUAUCAUACUAAGUGAAGGGUACCUGUCUUGGGAGAACCAAAGGAUUGGUUGCAGGAUUUUUUUUUUAAAUGUUAUUUAUUUAUUUAUUGUUGGCUGUGCUGGGUCUUGGUUGCUGCAUAUGGAUUUUCUCUAGUUGCAGAGAGUGGGGGCAACUCUCAAGUUGCAGUGUGUGGGCCUCUCAUUGCCACGGCUUCUCUCGUUCCAGAGCACGGGCUCAAGGACGUGCAGGCUUCAGUAGUUGGAGACAUGGGCUUCGUUGCCCCGCAGCAUGUGGCAUCUUCCCAGACCAGGGAUCAAGCCUGUGUCUCCUGCAUUGGCAGGUGGAUUCUUAACCACUGAACCACCAGAGAAGUCCACAUUUAAUUCUUUAUUCACACUACUGACCAAUCCCUUUUCCUGACACCCUUUCCCUCUUUUCUUGUUUCAGGUAUUCCAGCCUCAACUGCUUUUUCCCUUAUUUAUCUGGAUAUUACUCCUGAGUCUUCACUUUCUCUCUCUGUCUCUUUACAUGGUUUUAUACUCCAGAUUAUAUCCUUGAGCCUCUUCUCUGCUUACUAUACCUAUUGAACAUUUGCAUGUGAAUAUUCACCUUUAUCUCAGUAUACUCCAAACUAAACUUGCCUUCUUCACUCCUGUAUCUCUUCCACCCACCUGUACCUCCUGCCUUGAUAAACAGAACUUCCCUAAACUCACAUUUAGAUCUAGAAGCUUCAUUAGAAUCUUUGUAAGAAUGAUCCACAGAUGGCUCUUAUGUUACCAUAUUGGGGGACAUACAAUAUGUGGUUGUUUCUCUUUUUGUAACGAUAAGAUUUUUCAGUGGCUUAGUGUGUUAUAAUACAAAUUAUCCAUUAACAAACCCCUAUAACCUCUCAUGUAGUGGUUUUGACAGUCAGUGAGUUAUUGACAGUCAUUGCCUAGGUCCAGUAUUAGGGACUUACAUUUCUUACCAGCUUUACUGCAGCAACUUCUUAAGGUUUCCACGCCUUUAAUUUUUUUCCCUUAACUUGACCCUUCUAUAUGCACUACCACUAAAUAGAUUUUUGUGUACCCCAAAUCAUUUUAUAUGAUUUCCCUGCUUAAAAUUCUUUAGUGGAUUCUUAGUGAAUUCAGAAUACAAUCCAAAUUUUAGAGCAAAGAUAUACAAGAAUGUUUAUCAUCUGGUCCCUGCUUUACCUGACUGUUACUUACUUUCUAUUUUGGCUCAGUUGGUAAAGAAUUCACCUGCAAUGGAGGAGACCCUGGUUCAAUUCCUGGGUUGGGAAGAUCUGCUGGAGAAGUGAUAGGCUACCUACUCCAGUACUCUUGGGCUUCCCUUUUG